rnacentral:rRNA from 1 species
UACGUAGGGUGCAAGCGUUAAUCGGAAUUACUGGGCGUAAAGCGUGCGCAGGCGGCUAUGCAAGACAGAUGUGAAAUCCCCGGGCUCAACCUGGGAACUGCUGUUGAUACUGCAUGGCUAGAGUGCGGCAGAGGGGGAUGGAAUCCGCGUGUAGCAGUGAAAUGCGUAGAUAUGCGGAGGAACACCGAUGGCGAAGGCAAUCCCCUGGGCCUGCACUGACGCUCAUGCACGAAAGCGUGGGGAGCAAACAGG